GAUGAACGCUGGCGGCGUGCCUAAUACAUGCAAGUCGAGCGAACGGACGAGAAGCUUGCUUCUCUGAUGUUAGCGGCGGACGGGUGAGUAACACGUGGAUAACCUACCUAUAAGACUGGGAUAACUUCGGGAAACCGGAGCUAAUACCGGAUGAUAUUUUGAACCGCAUGGUUCAAAAGUGAAAGACGGUCUUGCUGUCACUUAUAGAUGGAUCCGCGCUGCAUUAGCUAGUUGGUACGGUAACGGCUUACCAAGGCAACGAUGCAUAGCCGACCUGAGAGGGUGAUCGGCCACACUGGAACUGAGACACGGUCCAGACUCCUACGGGAGGCAGCAGUAGGGAAUCUUCCGCAAUGGGCGAAAGCCUGACGGAGCAACGCCGCGUGAGUGAUGAAGGUCUUCGGAUCGUAAAACUCUGUUAUUAGGGAAGAACAUAUGUGUAAGUAACUGUGCACAUCUUGACGGUACCUAAUCAGAAAGCCACGGCUAACUACGUG
rnacentral:rRNA from 1 species